UGUGCAAUCCAAUUAUUAGUUUAGGCUUUUAGUUAAGAUGGAGCACAUGCUUCAAUUUGGUAUCAGAGCCAGACCAAAGGUAAUGGGUUUGAAUCUCUACCUUUUUUGCCUUUUGGA